rnacentral:misc_RNA from 1 species
CCGAACCGUCGACACGAGUUGUUGCUGGUCCUCGAGAGGGGGCAUGUGCACGCUCUGUUUACACAUCCACUCACACCUGUGCACCCUCUGUAGUUCUGUGGCCUAGGGGGCUCUGUCCCCUUGCCGUGGUCCUACGUCUUUACACACACGCCGUAACGAAGUCUCAUGGAAUGUAUGUCGCGCUCGACGCAAUACAAUA